GGAGAGUUUGGCUGGAGAAAUAGAGUGGGGAGGAAGGAGUAAUUUCACAAGAGAAAGAGCCUAACUGCAGAAAACAGAACACCUGGAAGUAAUCCCGCUUCAUUUGAAUCGUAACAGGGGUAGUUAAUGAGAUCAACCCUGAGGGUAAGUGAGUCUAAAAUAGUGCUGCUGCGGGCCACGCUUUGAACCCAGCACUUCCUUGUUGCAGCUCUAGAGAAAACAGUCUGUUAAGAAGUAAGCACUCAGGCCGGGUGCAGUGGCUCAGGCCUAUAAUCCCAACACUUUGGGAGACCAAAGCGAGAGAGGCCAGGAGCUCAAGACCGGCCUGCGCAACAAGGCUGGGACAGACGGAAGAGGAAGAAAGCAGGGGUGUCCGGGAGGCUGAUUUAGGCUAGCUCCCUGAAGCUCGCCCAGCACUUCCAGUCCCACGCACACAGCAGUCUCCAACCCAGAGGGCCUCGCCUUGCCACGCCCAGGCUGAGAGGACUUCCACCCUAGAGAAUCUCUCAUCCUUUUCCCUGUUCUCCCUGCGCCACUCCUUCUCCUCCUCCCAACUCACCUUGUCAUUCACUGGAACGAAGUUGCUAUCCAUGGUGACAAUGCGGAAAUACACUGGAAAGGAACAGGCAUCAUUAGCAAAGGGGAUGUUUCCUGGCUCAGAAUUUUUUUUUUUUUUUUUUUUUUGAUACAGGGUCUCACUCUGUCACCCAGGUUGGAGUGCAGUGGCACAACCGUGGCUCACUUCAGCCUCAAACUCCUGGGCUCAAGUGAUUCUCCCACCCCAGCCUCCGGAGUAGCUGGGACCACAGGCAGGUGCCACCACACUUGGCUAAUUUUUGUAGAGACAGGGUUUCACCAUGUUGGCCAGGCUGGUCUAUGAACUCCUGACCUCAGGUGAUCCACCUGCCUUGGCCUCCCAAAGUGCUGGGAUUAUAGGCGUGAGCCACCGCGCUCCGCCUCCUGCUCAGAAUCUUUCCUCUAUCCCUCCUCCUUCCUCACACAUGCUCUGAGUCAGCAAAACCCCAACAGGUUUUACUUUUUUACAAAACCUGCUCUGAGAGUAAGGUAAAGUCCAAACACAGGCCUGGAGCUCAGGAGGCAGAGCAAGAGGCAGAAUAGAAGCCUCCAUUGACCACCCUCCUCAUCCCCCACAGUAACACCAAACUGAACAACUGCCCACGCAAAACAGCACUGUCAUAAGAACCAAAAAUCAGAAGAGUGAUCACAGUGCCUGGUUUUAACUUUAUAUCACUGAAAGAGGCACUGAAGAGGGUAGAAAAGACACACUUGAAUUGCUGAUUCACCCCCUCCCCGCCAUCCCCCAGCAGUGACUGUGGUACAGAGACAGAAUCGAUGAGCUUGAGGGCGGGAGAGCACAGUGACUGUGGGACUUGGCUUUAGAAUGCAAUGCUGCCCAAUCACAGGGGAAAGCACACAGGGCAGAACUCAGCCAGUGCCCAUGGAGGGAGCAUUUAGACCAGCGUUAGCCAGGGGUGAACUGCCCAUCCCAGCGGUUGGAAGCUGAGUUCCGAUUAGCCCCUGGGGCUCUAAAUACUCAGCAGUGAUAGCUGGGCAGUACUUGUCGUGGGCCUUGGGUGAGACUCAGAGACAUGCUGGCUUCCAGUGAUUCAGCACAUUCCCAGCUGUGGUGACUAUGGGGAGAGACUCCUUCUACUUGAGAAAAGGAGAGGGAAGAGUCAAGGGGACUUUGUCUUGCAGCUUAGGUACCAGCUCAGCCACAGUGGGGUACAGCACCAAGCAGGCCCUUGGGGUCGCCAGUUAUGGGCUGUGGCUCUUGGAUGCCAUUUCUGGACCUGCUGUUUGUCAGAGGAGAGCUCACUGCCCUGAAAAGAGAGUCCCAGGCCAGGCACCAUUCACCACAAGCUGGUGAAAGGAGACUUUGGGCCUCGAGAGAAUACUGGAAGUAUCCAGGCAGUACUCCUGUGGGCCUGGAGUAGUGGUGGCCACAGAGAGAGACUCCUCUGUGAAAAGGGGAAGGAAGAGUGGGAAGGACUUUGUCUUAUGGCUUGGGUGCCAACUCAGCUGCAGUAGAACAGAACACCAGGUAGAUUCCUAAGGUUUCUGACUCCAGGCCCUGGCUCGCAGAUUACAUCUCUGGACCUUCCAGGGUCAUGGGGAACUCACCACCCUGAAGGGGAGGACACAAGCCUGGCUGGCUUUGUCACCUGCUGACUGUAGAGCCCUAGGGCCUUGAGCAAACAUGGGCAGUAGCCAGGUACUGGUUACCACAGGCCUUGGGUGAGACACAGUACGGUGCUGGCUUCAGAUCUGACCCAGUGCAGUCCCAAUGCUGGUGGCCACAGGGGUGCUUGUGUCACCCCUCUCUCCAGGCAGCUCAGCACAAAGAGAGAAACUCUGUUUGUUUUGGAGAAAGUAAGGGAAGAGAACAGGAGUCUCCUCCUGGUAAUCUGGAAUUCUUCCAGAUCUUAUCCAAGACCAUCAAGGAGGUACCUCUAUGAGCCUUCAAGAGCCACAGAGAUACUGAGCAUGGGGUCCUCCCUAAUGCAGAUGAACUGCAGAGUCCAAACACUUAGAUUACGACACCCAAGUCCCUUCAAAUACCUGGAAAGUCUGCCCAAGGAGGACAGGUACAAACAAGUCCAGAAUGCCAAGACUACAAUAAAUACCUAACUCUUCAAUGCCCAGACACCAAUGAACAUCCACAUCAAGACCAUGUUGGAAAAAAUUACCUCACCAGAUGAACUAAAUAAGGCACCAGCAACCAAUCUCCCAGAAACAAAGAUAGUGAUCUUUCAGAUCGAGAAUUCAAAAUAGCUGUUUUGAGGAAACUCAACAAAAUUUUAGAUAACACAGAGAAAGAAUUCAGAAUCUUAUCAGAUAAAUUUAACAAAGAGAAAAAAAAAGAGGUAUUGACUUUAAAGAGGAGGUUGAGAGAGAAAAUGAGAUGGAAAGUUUAUUCAAAGUGAAAAUAACAGAGAACUUUCCAAACCUAGAGAAAGAUAUCAAUAUUAUUAUUAUUUGAGACAGUCUCGCUCUGUUGCCCAGGCUGGAGUGCAGUAAUGUGAUCUUGGCUCAUGUGACCUCCGCCUCCCUGGUUCAAGUGAUUCUCCUGCCUCAGCCUCCCCAGUAGCUGGGAUUACAGGCACAGGCCACCUUGCUUGGCUAAUUUGGUAUUUUUAGUAGAGACAGGGUUUUGCCAUGUUGGCCAGGCUGGUCUCGAAAUACUCAUCUCAGGUGAUUUGCCCACCUCAGCCUCCCAAAGUGCUGGGAUUACAAGCAUGAGCCACUGAGCCCAGCUGAGAAAGAUAUCAAUAUUAAUUACAAGAUUAUAGAACACCAAGCAGAUUUAGCCCAAAUGAGUCUACCUCAAGACAUUUAAUAAUCAAACUCCCAAACAUCAAGGAAUAAAAAACAAAAAAGAAUCCUAAAAGUGCAAGAAGACAGACGUGGUGGCUUACGCGUGUAACCCCAGCACUUUGGGAGGCUGAGUGGGGAGGAUAACUUGAGGUCAGGAGUUGGAGACCAGCCUGGCCAACAUGGCGAAACUCCAUCUCUACCAAAAAUACAAAAAUUAGCCAGGGGUGGUGGCGCUCACCUGUAAACCCAGCUACUCGGGAGGCUGAGGCAGGAGAAUCACUUGAACCCAGGAGGCAGAGGCUGCAAUGAGCAACCAUUUAUUGCAUUCCAGCCUGCGCGGCAGAAUGAGACUCCAUCUCAAAAAACAAAAAAACAAAAACAAAAAUUAGCUGGGCAUGGUGGCGCAUGCCUGUACUCCCAGCUACUUGGGAUGCUGAAGCACAAGAAUCACUUGAACCCAGGAGGCAGAGGUUGCAGUAAGCAGUGAUCCCGCCACUGCACUCCACAGCCUGGGCAACAGAGGGAGACUCUGUCUCAAAAACAAAAAAAAUUCAGUAACAUUUCUAUAUGCCAACAGGGAACAAUCUGAAAAAGAAAUUAAGAAAGAUAAUUCCAUUUACAAUAGCUAUAAAUAAUAUAAAAUACCUAGGAAUAAACUUUACCAAAGAAGUGAAAGAUCUCAACAAUAAAAACUAUAAAAUACUGAUGAAAGAAAUUGAAGAGGACACACAAAAACAUGAAAAGAGAUUUCAUGUUUCUGGAUUGGAAGAAUUGAUAUUGUUAAAAUUCCGUACUACCUAAGGCAAUCUACAGGUUCAUUGCAAUCCCUAUCAGAAUACUAAUGACAUUCUUCACAGAAAUUCUACAUCCUAAAUCUUAGGACUUUUGUAAAAAAAAUCAUAAAAUUUUUAUGGAACCAUAAAAGACCUAAAAUAACCAAAUCUAUUCUGAACAAAAAGAACAAAGCUGGAAGAAUCACAUUACAUGACUUCAAAUUAUACUGCAAAGCUAUAGUAACCAAAACAGCAUGGUACUGUCAUAAAAACAAAUACAUAGACCAAUGGAACAGAAUAGAGAACCCAGAAACAUGUCUAGGGUGAACUCAUUUUUGACAAAGGUGACAAGUGUAUACACUGGAGAAAGCACAGGCUCUUCAAUAAAUGGUUCUGGGAAAAUUGGAUAUCCAUAUGCAGAAGAAUGAAACUAGACCCUCAUCUCUCUCCAUAUAGAAAAAUCAAGUCAAAAUGGAUGAAAGAUUUAAAUCUAAUACCUCAAUCUAUGAAACUAUUAUAUAUAAGAAAACUUUGGGGAAACUCUCCAGAACAUUGGUCUGGGCAAAGAUUUCUUGAGUAAUACCCAAGGAGCACAAGAAACCAAAGCAAAAAUGGACAAACAGGAUCACAUCAAGUUAAAAAGCUUCUGCACAGCAAAGGAAACAAUCAACAAAGAGACAACCCACAGAAUGAAAGAAAAUAUUUGCAAACUACCCAUCUGACAAGGGAUUAAUAACCAGAAUAUAUAAGGAGCUCAGACAGCUGUAUAGGAAAACAUCUAGUAAUCAGAUUAAAGAACGGGCAAAAAGAUCUGAAUAGACAUUUCUCAAAAGAAGACAUACAAAUGGCAAACAGGUAUAUAAAAAAGGUGCUCAAAUCAUUGACUGUCAGAGAAAUGUAAAUCAAAACUACAAUGAGAUAUUAUCUCACCCCAGUUAAAAUGGCUUUUUUCCAAAAGACAAACAAUAAUAAAUGCUGGUGAGGAUGUGGAGAAAAGAGAACCCUCAUACACUGUUGGUGGGAAUGUAAAUUAGUACAACCACUAUGGAGAACAGUUUGGAGGUUUCUGAAAAAAACUAAAAAUAGAGCUUCCAUAUAAUCCUGCAAGCCCACUGCUAAGUAUAUAUACAAAAGAAAGGAAAUCAGUAUAUCAAAGACUAUCUGUGCUGCCAUGUUUAUGGCAUCAGUAUUCACAAUAGCCAAGAUAUGGAAGCAACCUAAGUGUCUAUGAACAGAUGAUAAAAAAUGGAUUAAAAAAUGUGGUACACAUACAUAAUGGAGUACUAUUCAGCCAUAAAAAAGAAUGAGACCCCAUCCUUUGCAACAGCCUGAAUGGAACAGGAGGUCAUUAUGUUAAGUAAAAUAAACCAGACACAGAAAGACAAACUUUCCAUGUUCUCAUUUAUUUGUGGGAGCUAAAAAUUAAAACAAUUGAAGUCGUGGAGAUAGAGAAUAGAAUAAUAAUUUUUAAGUGUGUGGAAAAAAAUAAGGUAAAAGGAAAAAAAUUUUUUUGAAAGAGAGAGAGAGAACAGAAUGAUGGUUACCAGAUGCUGGGAAGGGUAAUGGUGGGCAGGAUGAGGGGUGGGGUGGGAAUGGUUAAUGGGUACAAAAAUAUAUUUAGCUAGAAUGAAUAAGAUCUAGGGAUCUUGUAGUUUUUAGCACAAAGAGUGACUACAGUCAACAAUAAUUUAUUGCACAUUUAAAAAUUACUAAGAGAGUAUAAUUGGAUUGUUUGUAAUACAAGGAAAUGAUAAAUGCUUGAGGUGAUGGAUACACAUGUACCCUGAUGUAAUGAUUACACAUUGUGUGUGUGUAUAAAAAUAUCUCAUCUACCCCAUAAAUAUAUAUACACCAGCUAUGUACCCACAAAAAUUUUAAAUAAAAAAAUAAAAAAAACCCAAACAUAGUUUCUUUUCAGGGUGCCUGACUUUGAAAUCUCAGAAUGAAGUGCCCCUGUAAGGACGAAUGAACAAAUACAAAAAAAAAAAAAAAAAAAAAAAAAAACCCCAGUAGCUCAAGCCAAAUGCCCUCAGUGCUUUCUUAGCCAUUUACAAGCAGUUUGUUGUAAGGCCCAGCAACCCAGUUAUACUUGCCAAAUUCUAUUCCAGAAGAAAUGUGUACUUUUGUUUUAGAUACACAAACUCAGUAGCAACCCCCACCUACUUCUCUUGCUUGUGUAGCGCAGCAUGUAUUCAACACUUGCACUACUUAAUCCCCCCAGAUUUUCCUCUCCUCUGCACUCCUUUUUUUCCAAAGCCUA
rnacentral:lncRNA from 10 species